GUGGGGAAUAUUGGACAAUGGGCGAAAGCCUGAUCCAGCCAUGCCGCGUGUGUGAAGAAGGUCUUCGGAUUGUAAAGCACUUUAAGUUGGGAGGAAGGGCAGUAAGUUAAUACCUUGCUGUUUUGACGUUACCGACAGAAUAAGCACCGGCUAACUUCGUGCCAGCAGCCGCGGUAAUACGAAGGGUGGAAGCGUUAAUCGGAAUUACUGGGCGUAAAGCGCGCGUAGGUGGUUUUGUAAGUUGGAGGUGAAAUCCCCGGGCUCAACCUGGGAACUGCCUCCAAAACUGCAUGACUAGAGUACGGUAGAGGGUAGUGGAAUUUCCUGUGUAGCGGUGAAAUGCGUAGAUAUAGGAAGGAACACCAGUGGCGAAGGCGACUACCUGGACUGAUACUGACACUGAGGUGCGAAAGCGUGGGGAGCAAACAGGAUUAGAUACCCGGGUAGUCC
rnacentral:rRNA from 1 species